rnacentral:rRNA from 1 species
UUAACGGCCGCGGUACCCUAACCGUGCGAAGGUAGCAUAAUCACUUGUUCUUUAAAUGGGGACUAGUAUCAACGGCAUCACGAGGGUUGCACUGUCUCCUCCCCCCAAUCAGUGAAACUGAUCUCCCCGUGAAGAAGCGGGGAUAUAAUAAUAAGACGAGAAGACCCCAUGGAGCUUCAAAUCUACAGCAACUCUAACACAUAAUACCCUACAACCGCAGAGCCGUGCAUGAAGAUUUUAGGUUGGGGCGACCGCGGAGCAAAAAUCACCCUCCACGACGAAAGGGGCUAAACCCUUAUCCCAGAGCCACCGCUCUAAGAAUUAGCACACUAACGAACUGUGACCCGAUAAUCGAUCAACGGACCAAGUUACCCUGGGGAUAACAGCGCAAUCUACUUCAAGAGCCCGUAUCGACAAGUAGGCUUACGACCUCGAUGUUGGAUCAGGGUACCCCAGUGGUGCAGCCGCUACUAACGGUUCGUUUGUUCAACGAUUAAAACCCUACGUGAU